GGGGCCAUGGUUCAGUGGAAGAGCAUCUCCUUGGCAUGCAGAAGAUCCUCCAGGUUCCAUCCUUGGCAUCUCCA
rnacentral:tRNA from 1 species